rnacentral:rRNA from 1 species
GAUGAACGCUAGCGGGAGGCCUAACACAUGCAAGCCGAGCGGUAUUGUUUCUUCGGAAAUGAGAGAGCGGCGUACGGGUGCGUAACACGUGUGCAACCUGCCUUUAUCUGGGGGAUAGCCUUUCGAAAGGAAGAUUAAUACUCCAUAAUAUAUUGAACGGCAUCGUUUAAUAUUGAAAGCUCCGGCGGAUAGCGAUGGGCACGCGCAAGAUUAGCUAGUUGGUGAGGUAACGGCUCACCAAGGCGAUGAUCCUUAGGGGGCCUGAGAGGGUGAUCCCCCACACUGGUACUGAGACACGGACCAGACUCCUACGGGAGGCAGCAGUGAGGAAUAUUGGUCAAUGGGUGCAAGCCUGAACCAGCCAUCCCGUGUGAAGGACGACUGCCCUAUGGGUUGUAAACUUCUUUUGGAUAGGGAUAAACCUACCCUCGAGAGGGUAGCUGAAGGUACUAUACGAAUAAGCACCGGCUAACUCCGUG